GAUGAACGCUGGCGGCGUGCCUAAUACAUGCAAGUCGAGCGAACGGACGAGAAGCUUGCUUCUCUGAUGUUAGCGGCGGACGGGUGAGUAACACGUGGAUAACCUACCUAUAAGACUGGGAUAACUUCGGGAAACCGGAGCUAAUGCCGGAUAAUAUUUUGAACCGCAUGGUUCAAAAGUGAAAGACGGUCUUGCUGUCACUUAUAGAUGGAUCCGCGCUGCAUUAGCUAGUUGGUAAGGUAACGGCCUACCAAGGCAACGAUGCAUAGCCGACCUGAGAGGGUGAUCGGCCACACUGGAACUGAGACACGGUCCAGACUCCUACGGGAGGCAGCAGUAGGGAAUCUUCCGCAAUGGGCGAAAGCCUGACGGAGCAACGCCGCGUGAGUGAUGAAGGUCUUCGGAUCGUAAAACUCUGUUAUUAGGGAAGAACAUAUGUGUAAGUAACUGUGCACAUCUUGACGUUACCUACUCAGAAAGCCACGGCUAACUACGUG
rnacentral:rRNA from 1 species